rnacentral:misc_RNA from 1 species
GAAAUGCGAUAAGUAAUGUGAAUUGCAGAAUUCAGUGAAUCAUCGAAUCUUUGAACGCACAUUGCGCCCAUUAGCAUUCUAGUGGGCAUGCCUGUUCGAGCGUCAUUUCAAACCCAUCAAGCCCUGUCUGCUUGGCGUUGGGAGACUCCCGGGCCCUCUCGCCCUGGACCUCCUCAAAUGGAUCGGCGGAGCCGUGGCGACCCGCAGCGUAGUAGAUUUCUGUCUCGCUGGUACGGUGUCGGCGCCGGCGCCCGGCCGCUAAACCCCCCCUACUUUCGUAGUCUUGACCUCGGAUCAGGUAGGAAUACCCGCUGAACUUAA